rnacentral:rRNA from 1 species
AUUGAACGCUGGCGGCAUGCCUUACACAUGCAAGUCGAACGGCAGCACGGGAGCAAUCCUGGUGGCGAGUGGCGAACGGGUGAGUAAUAUAUCGGAACGUGCCCAGUCGUGGGGGAUAACGCAGCGAAAGCUGUGCUAAUACCGCAUACGAUCUAAGGAUGAAAGCGGGGGAUCGCAAGACCUCGCGCGAUUGGAGCGGCCGAUAUCAGAUUAGCUAGUUGGUGGGGUAAAGGCCCACCAAGGCGACGAUCUGUAGCUGGUCUGAGAGGACGACCAGCCACACUGGAACUGCGACACGGUCCAGACUCCUACGGGAGGCAGCAGUGGGGAAUUUUGGACAAUGGGCGCAAGCCUGAUCCAGCAAUGCCGCGUGCAGGAUGAAGGCCUUCGGGUUGUAAACUGCUUUUGUACGGAACGAAACGGCGAGCUUUAAUACAGUUUGCUAAUGACGGUACCGUAAGAAUAAGCACCGGCUAACUACGUGCCAGCCGCCGCCGUAACAC